AUUGAAAGAACAAAAAAGAGGUGGAAGAAGAAGAAGAAAAGUCAUAAUCAUCAUCAUCAUCUUAGCCUUUUCUCCUAGCGAUUUCAGGGCAUUUGGGUACCUUAUGAGAGUCUGUCAUUGUCAAUUCAACAGUUCAACUCCUGAGCUGACUAAUUACAUUGGUACAAGAAAUACAGAAGCAGGAAGGAGACUGUAGUGGCAUAUGCAGA